rnacentral:rRNA from 1 species
GACGAACGCUGGCGGCGUGCUUAACACAUGCAAGUCGAACGAAGUGGCGAACGGGAGAGUAACGCGUAAUCAACCUGCCCUUCGGAGGGGGACGACAGUUGGAAACGACUGCUAAUACCGCAUACGGAAGGAGGGGAUUGAGUCUGAUUAGCGCGGUGGAGGGGUACCGGACCACCAAUGCGAUGAUCAGUAGCCGGGCUGAGAGGAUGAACGGCCACAUUGGGACUGAGACACGGCCCAGACUCCUACGGGAGGCAGCAGUGGGGAAUCUUCCGCAAUGGACGAAAGUCUGACGGAGCAACGCCGCGUGAGUGAUGACGGCCUUCGGGUUGUAAAGCUAUGUUAAUCGGGACGCGGUACCGGAAUAGAAAGCCACGGCUAACUACGUGCCAGCAGCCGCGGUAAUUC